AUUGAACGCUGGCGGCAUGCCUUACACAUGCAAGUCGAACGGCAGCAUGAUCUAGCUUGCUAGAUUGAUGGCGAGUGGCGAACGGGUGAGUAAUACAUCGGAACGUGCCCCGUAGUGGGGGAUAACUAGUCGAAAGAUUAGCUAAUACCGCAUACGACCUGAGGGUGAAAGUGGGGGACCGCAAGGCCUCAUGCUAUAGGAGCGGCCGAUGUCUGAUUAGCUAGUUGGUGAGGUAAAGGCUCACCAAGGCGACGAUCAGUAGCUGGUCUGAGAGGACGAUCAGCCACACUGGGACUGAGACACGGCCCAGACUCCUACGGGAGGCAGCAGUGGGGAAUUUUGGACAAUGGGCGAAAGCCUGAUCCAGCAAUGCCGCGUGUGUGAAGAAGGCCUUCGGGUUGUAAAGCACUUUUGUCCGGAAAGAAAUGGCUCUUGUUAAUACCUGGGGUCGAUGACGGUACCGGAAGAAUAAGGACCGGCUAACUACGUG
rnacentral:rRNA from 1 species